ACGGGUGAGUAACACGUGGGUAACCUGCCCAUAAGACUGGGAUAACUCCGGGAAACCGGGGCUAAUACCGGAUAACAUUUUGAACUGCAUGGUUCGAAAUUGAAAGGCGGCUUCGGCUGUCACUUAUGGAUGGACCCGCGUCGCAUUAGCUAGUUGGUGAGGUAACGGCUCACCAAGGCAACGAUGCGUAGCCGACCUGAGAGGGUGAUCGGCCACACUGGGACUGAGACACGGCCCAGACUCCUACGGGAGGCAGCAGUAGGGAAUCUUCCGCAAUGGACGAAAGUCUGACGGAGCAACGCCGCGUGAGUGAUGAAGGCUUUCGGGUCGUAAAACUCUGUUGUUAGGGAAGAACAAGUGCUAGUUGAAUAAGCUGGCACCUUGACGGUACCUAACCAGAAAGCCACGGCUAACUACGUGCCAGCAGCCGCGGUAAUACGUAGGUGGCAAGCGUUAUCCGGAAUUAUUGGGCGUAAAGCGCGCGCAGGUGGUUUCUUAAGUCUGAUGUGAAAGCCCACGGCUCAACCGUGGAGGGUCAUUGGAAACUGGGAGACUUGAGUGCAGAAGAGGAAA
rnacentral:rRNA from 1 species